GCCUCUGGCCACCCAAAUUUAUUGCACUUCAACUCAUCCAUGUGCUUCAUGCUCUGGUAACACUUCACUGCCCAUACUGGUCCCUGUAUGCCACCAAACUUUAAGGAUGGGUGAAGAAAAUUAAAUGUCUAUGAGGAACUGUUCAAAGCUUCCAGGCUGCUGAGGUCUUUUAGGAGUGAUAUUGCAGCACUGCUGAAUGAAAAUAAAACAUUGCUCAAUGGUUCAUAUGGCACUCAGAUGUCACAACAAUAAUGCUGUACAGGAAGGAGAAUAAAAUAAUUGUGAGAACUCAGAACUUUGCUUUUCCAAAAGAGGAAAGUAUGAUUUUUGUGUGUUUUAUCAUGUUCCACUGCAGACUCUUGAUUGAAUUUUUGCUGGGAUAGAACCUGGAUACAAAUAAGUUUGCAGGCUAUUGAUAGUUAUCCAAAUAUUGCUGGAAAGAAGAUCCUUUCUUGGCUCUGUAUCAGCUAUAUAGUACAUAAAUACUGUAGUUAUUAGCAGAAAAUGUGUUCUCUGAUUGGCCAAUUCAGAAUAGGCGAAAGAUUGAACAAUUAUUUAUUUUGUUGAAAUUUUACA